rnacentral:rRNA from 1 species
UACGGGGGGGGCAAGCGUUGUUCGGAAUUACUGGGCGUAAAGGGCUCGUAGGCGGCCAACUAAGUCAAACGUGAAAUCCCUCGGCUUAACCGGGGAACUGCAUCUGAUACUGGAUGGCUUGAGUUCGGAAGGGGCAAUCGGAAUUCUUGGUGUAGCGGUGAAAUGCGUAGAUAUCAAGAGGAACACCUGAGGUGAAGACGGGUUGCUGGGCCGACACUGACGCUGAUGCGCGAAAGCCAGGGGAGCAAACGGG